CUAACCAAACCAAAGGUUCUCAACUUUCUUCGUUGUUUAAACAUUUUACUUACUUUUCAUUUUAAAAACAAUUAUCUUUAUUCCAAAAAGUAAAUAACAAAACUUCAUUGUGGACAAAGCUUCAUCUUCAUUUAUCUCUCUCCCAUGUCUAAAACACAAAACCUCUUCGAUCCAGAUUAAAGUCUUUGCCUUCAUCGUUAUCUACUAUGCAUAUACCGUCACUGCCGUAUUCCAAUGACACCCGUUUUCAUCGCCAUUCUAUUAAGCACUCGGCUUCGCCAUUGUGUUCCACCGUGUACUUGGCCCUCGCGUUUCAGUGAACAGAUUCCACAAGUUUCACCCUCGUAGCCACAUAUUUGCCAAAAGUUGAUCUCCUCCACUAUCUCUUUAUGAAUGUUGCUACUCCUCCUUCUUGAGAUGAAUCUCAAAGAUCUGUUUCUCCCCCAUUCUAUGUCAUUUUUAGUCUUUACCAUUGUUAGCGACGAGAUCCGAGCAAUCCCGGUUGUUUUUUCUUAAUGUAUAAUAUGAUUCAUGUGGAUUUUUACAAAAGGUUAUUGUUUAAUCUGGAUUAUUUUUGGUUGAUCUGGAAUUUGACGUAUGGAUAUAGAUUUUCGUGUUCAUCAACCUCAAAUCAACAUGUAUGAUUUGUCCACAAAUUAAUGUCCAUAAUUCUCAUGUCCACGAAUCACAUAUAAAUAAUGUUUACAAAUGUGUCCAGA
rnacentral:lncRNA from 1 species